rnacentral:misc_RNA from 1 species
GUCAUACGACCAAUGCACAUAUGUGUUAACGUACUACUGCGUUUUCCGUAAGCCGUUGCUUGCUAUCAUUCGUCCAGAGCUCGAAGAAAAUGGCGAACUGUUUGUUUAUGAUGACCAUCUUUGGAUUCAAUAAUUAAAUUCCACGUUAUUUUCGUUCGGUUUAUUUUUUCCGUCUGAUUGAACGGUUUUGAAAUGUUCUAAAAAUACCAUUGUCUGGUUUGACUGAAUUGUCUUGGCCCGCGAAUAUCGUGUGAAGUGUACUACGGGAUUAUCGGUUACAGGUUAUUAAACUUUAAUACAUCAUGUAUUUGUAUAAUAUGACAUUGCAACGUGGUAGUGGCAUAACGCACGCUAUACAUGGAAAUUUCAGUGGUGGAAAAGUACAAGAGAUAUUAGUAUCACGUGGUAAAUCUCUAGAACUGAUGAGGCCAGAUACAAAUACUGGUAAAGUUCACACAUUAUUGACUGUUGAAGUUUUUGGAAUAGUUCGAGCAUUAAUGAGUUUUAGACAAUCCGGAGGCACUAAAGAUUAUAUUGUGGUUGGUUCUGAUUCUGGGAGAAUUGUGAUUUUGGAAUAUUUACCCUCUAAAAAUAUCUUGGAUAAAGUGCACCAAGAGACUUUUGGCAAGAGUGGAUGUAGGCGAAUUGUUCCUGGACAAUAUUUAGCUAUUGAUCCAAAAGGAAGGGCAAUAAUGAUAGGUGCUGUUGAAAAACAAAAAUUAGUUUACAUUCCUAAUAGAGAUGCUGAAGCACGACUAACAAUUUCAUCUCCUUUAGAAGCUAAUAAAAGCAAUACAUUAGUAUAUCAUAUGGUUGGAAUUGAUGUUGCAUUUGAUAACCCAAUAUUUGCUUGUCUUGAAAUUGACUAUGAGGAAGUUGACGCAGAUCCGACUGGAGAAGCCGUUCAAACUACACGGCAGACACUUACAUUUUAUGAAGUAGAUUUUGGAUUAAAUCAUGUAGUACGUAAAUAUAGUGAACCUUUAGAAGAACAUGCAAAUUCUCUCAUUACUGUUCCUGGUGAUAAAGAUGGACCUGGAGGAGUACUAAUAUGUUCAGAAAAUUAUAUAACUUACAAAAAUCAAGGGGAACAACCUGAUAUAAGGUGUCCAAUACCUCGUAGACGAAAUGAUUUAGAUGAUCCAGAACGAGGAAUGAUUUUGGUUUGCAGUGCCACGCACAAGACAAAGUCAAUGUUUUUUUUCUUAGUUCAAACUGAACAAGGAGAUGUUUUCAAAGUUACAUUAGAAACCAAUGAAGAGUUUGUUACAGAAAUUAGACUGAAAUAUUUUGAUACUGUUCCAGUAGCUUCUGCUAUGUGUGUUUUAAAAACUGGGUUUUUGUUUGUAGCAUCAGAGUUUGGGAAUCAUUAUUUAUACCAAAUAGCAAAUCUGGGUGAUGAUGAUGAUGAACCAGAAUUUAGCUCAGCAAUGCCUCUUGAAGAAGGAGAUACGUUUUUCUUUGCUCCUCGACAAUUACGAAAUUUAGUUUUAGUAGAUGAAAUGGAUUCAUUAUCACCUAUUAUGGCUUGUCAAGUUGCUGAUUUAGCUGCCGAAGAUACUCCACAAUUAUAUAUGGCUUGUGGUCGAGGAUCGAGGUCUACUUUAAGAGUUUUAAGACAUGGACUUGAAGUUUCAGAAAUGGCUGUAUCUGAACUGCCAGGCAGUCCAAAUGCAGUGUGGACAGUAAAAAGAAGAGCUGAUGGUAUUGAAUCACCGUAGUGGCUCUGAAUCAAAUAGGUAAGUUGUAGAGUUGGACGGGAGUGAUUGAAGAAAUCCACUUAUAAAAUAAGAACACACUUCCUCAGCUGAAAUAGUUAAAGAAAAUAAGUUCAUUAAUUUAUAUUCAUAUUGAUGUAAAUAGGAUGAGUCCUAAUAUGAGACAUUCCAACACUAAACAAUCAACUAGUUGUCUACUAUUGAUCACAACGUUAAAAUAUAGUUUAAUCUUUUUUUUGUCUUAAAAAUAUUUAAGUUCAAGUUGCUAAAGUUUUUAUCCUAUUGAUUUUGAAUAAUUUACUUGACAAAUAUUUUUUUAUUUUUAAAUCUUC